rnacentral:lncRNA from 1 species
UUAUUUUCGGUGACAAAUUCGUAAGAAACAUAAUGAAAUAAUAAUAAAAAAUAGUAAUGUAUAAAAUGACGGGCAAACACAAUGAAUUGUUACCACUUAGCGGUAGCAAGAUGAAAAUAUAAUUUGGUGGGCGAAUUUUAUGUAGCCCGCCCCUCUCUAAAAUUAGGGUUUUGAUCAUUUUAACCCUUGUCUCUAAAAUUACACCCCCCAUGUCGAAGAACCACUCUGAUAAAAAUCUCUGACCAUAUCGAGACUCUUCAAAUUUGUACCAGUUCGCUCGCCGUGAUAUAGAUCUUGAUCGUACUGGUAUGCUCUUACAGUUAUGUAAGCCAAUCUUAUAUAUGUGUUUAAGUUUGAUUUUGUUCUGGAAUUCUCUCAAUUAUUGUAUGAUUUGAUACAUGAUUGUUGGUAUUUUACUUCUAUGAUACUUACAACUCCCGUUAUCUUACCUUCCGCCGCCGCCGCUAAGGCCGCCGGGAUCACCUUCUAAACAGUGCCACACUUUCCUUUUUUCCUCACAGGUUGCCAUUAAGAAAAUGAAGAGAAAAUAUUAUUCGUGGGAAGAAUGCAUAAAUUUGAGAGAAGUCAAGAUUGAAACGUUGAACUUGGUUAUCAAGGAGCUCGCUAAGGAAAAUAAUGAAGAAAAAGAAAUGUAAAAUGAAAUUGUUGGCUGAAAAAGAUAAAGUGGAUGAAGAUGCUAGAGUUACGAUUCGAAGAUAGGCUAUAAACACUUGGUUUUGAAGGUUUCGAUGUUUAUUAUAUAACGAUAGUUUCGGUUACUUGAUAUUUUAGUUUGUAUUUUUGUUAGAAUGUUUUAUGACUUUGAAAUAGGAAAUACUGAAAUAGAGAUGUUUUGUAUAAUUUUAUGAUUUUGUAAUUUUAUGGAAUGUUUUAUAUAAAUUUGUAACUUUAUUGAAUUGUAGUUUUCAUGAAAAGCAUGGAAACUGUAAAAUAUGAAAACAGGGACACCAAUAUGGUGGUAAUUAUU